rnacentral:rRNA from 1 species
UAGGGAAUCUUCCGCAAUGGACGCAAGUCUGACGGAGCAACGCCGCGUGAGUGAAGAAGGAUUUCGGUUCGUAAAACUCUGUUGUUAGAGAAGAACAGCGCAUAGAGUAACUGUUAUGCGUGUGACGGUAUCUAACCAGAAAGCCACGGCUAACUACGUGCCAGCAGCCGCGGUAAUACGUAGGUGGCAAGCGUUGUCCGGAUUUAUUGGGCGUAAAGCGAGCGCAGGCGGUCAAUUAAGUCUGAUGUGAAAGCCCCCGGCUCAACCGGGGAGGGUCAUUGGAAACUGGUUGACUUGAGUGCAGAAGAGUAGAGUGGAAUUCCAUGUGUAGCGGUGAAAUGCGUAGAUAUAUGAAGGAACACCAGUGGCGAAGGCGACUCUCUGGUCUGUAACUGACGCUGAGGUUCGAAAGCGUGGGUAGCAAACAGG